UAAAGGUUUAAACAAGUUAUGGAAGGUUUGUAAAAAUUAACUUUGUGAACAUAAUUCUAUGUGUGAAAAUAUUGACUAAUUAAAGCUCUUUCAUAUGUAAACAUAACACACAUAAUACAUUUAAAUACAUAGACAGACAGAAGAUAAAAGGACUCAUUUUCCAAGCCAGGAAUUGUACCCUGAACCUGGGCUGCAUUGUGAAAAGAAAAAGCAUGGCAGCAUGGUUACAAGAUCAAGCUCCCAAGGACAUACAAGACAAGAGGGAAACCUCAUCCAGUUUUUUUUUAGAGACCUGCAGCAAAGUUUGUAACUGACCAGCUUGCUGGGCCAUCUUAAAAAGCAGGCUUACAGGUAUCCUAAGCCUGUGUUCUAUCCUAAGUUACCCCUAUCCAUUAUAGAACACAGAAAGACACACAAAGCACACUAGAUUCUCUACAGCUUAAGAUUAGCCUCACGAAUCCUUCAUCUCAUUAACUAAAACUUUACAGAGGAGAUAAACAGUGAUUUUUACUAUUCAUUCAACUAAUUUGCACAGAGAAAGAGAGAGGCCAGAAGUCUGGUAAGAAAUUCUUACCUUUUGCCAGCAUGCCAGGCUUUUGGAUUCCUCAGAGAUGCUGGAGGAAUCUGCAUAUUUCAGUAGGAUGUGCAGGGAAGGCCUCCUUAAGAAGGCAACAUUUGAGCAAAGAUCUGAAGUAGGCAAAGAAGCCAUUUGGAUAUCUGGUAAAAGAGCUUUUCCAGAUAUUUAACAAAUAAUUUCCUAACUUAUUCUACGUUUUAUUUUUUGUUUUUGAGACACGGUAUCUCUCACUCUGUCGCCCAGGCUGGAGUGCAGUGGNNNNNNNNNNAAAGUGCUGGGAUUACAGGCAUUCGUGAAAGGACUGCAUUUAGUGAGAAAGUUGUCUUAUUUGUCUGGCUAGAUAUACAUUAUUGGCCUAUGUGAUAUGCUAUGGAAAAGAACCUUAAACACUUAUCUUUGUGGAUAAGGUGAGAAUGAAUGACUCCACUAAAAUAGAAGCCUAUACUUUUUAAAGUGAGUUACUAC
rnacentral:lncRNA from 1 species